AGGGGCCAUGUCCCUGAGCAGGAGGGAAGUGUUCAUAGGUAAAGUACUGAAAAGACUCUAUGCUGAAACGUCACCAUCUUCUCUUGUGCAUACUUUGAGUGGAAAAGAGGAGGUAGUUCUUGGAAAUCUGGGCUCAGAAUCCAGUGUUCAGACUUCAGCAGAUGCUAGCACAUCAACUGAUACAUCCUGCAAAUCAGUUCAAGGUAGUGACAAUACAGUUGUGCCUCCAAAGAGAAUGUACACAGUGAAUCUUCCUCCGGAGGGUUACGUUGCAGAUACUCCAGAUGCCGCUAGAAUUUCAGCCUCUGCAACCUCAGGGAGUAGUUCUGACUCAACAGAGGAGGAAUAUCAAGGACAAACCAAGAGAAAGCGCAUUCGAAGGAAGAAAAAAAAGAGCAGCUUACAAAACUCUAAUAAUUUACAUGGAGAACAAACAGAUUCUGGAAUGCAAGAGACUCCUGUUCAAGAUAAUUUACAGCUGCAGCAGACAGACAGUCCCAAAAUAAGCAAAAACAAAAAGAGGAAAAUGAAAAAGAAGAGACAGAAAGAAAAAAUGAGAGCAGCUGGCUUGGUAACAAAAACUACUGGUGUGGAUUUUACGUAUCAGCCAGACAAAAACAACAGAGAAGAAGCAGCAGGCUUAAAAGACAUAGUUGAAAAGACAGAUAGCAUUCUGGACUUCCUGCAGGCAACACAACAAAUUUAUUUUGCUGACAGUAAAUCAAGAUGCACAGAUUCUGCUGUAAAUGCAGCAGCUGCCCAAGAGCUUUUGCAGUAUCUUGAAUCUCGCACCAUCUCUUCCUCAGAUGUGAUACUUCUACAUCGGUUGAAAUCCCUUGUAUUGCUGCAGGAUAUUGAGAGAUUGAAGGAUGCUUUGAAACAGUUCCAAGAACAAUCUAUGAUGCCUCCUGAUCAUACCAAGAUAAUCACGUCUCUGUUUCACUACUGGAUUACAGAUAUCCUUCCUGUGAAGAACAGGAAAUAAACCCUUGCCUGUGUCCAUAUGCACUGGGUUAAAAUUUAAUAUACAAACUCUUAACCAAGUAGCAAUUGUUCAGGAAGAGCAGUGUCAAUGCACAUUCUACACCUUCAGUGCUUGGACAUUUCUUAUAAUAUUGAAGUGAAUUUUAAAAUUAUUCUGAAUUUCACAUAGCUGUAUACAGAAGAGCAGAUUUGGGUGUCCUUGACACAUGGAGAUAUUUUGUACUAUCAGUAGUCUAAUCUCAAUCUGUAAGUAAAAUUUCUCACGUCAAUAUACUUUGCUUGAAUUGGCUAAUAAUGGGGAAAAGAUUGCUUUCAGACUCUCUUCUUUUCGUUCACUAAAACCACUGUAAGAGCCUUAUAUUCUGUGUGUAGAAAUCAGCUGGUCAUAACAAAACAAGCCUGAGAACAGUUUCAGAGCGUAACUAGAGUCAAUGAUAUCUGAUGUCUUUGUAAAUGACCUGUGAUAGAAGCUGAAUCUUACACUUAUCAAACCUGCCACUAUUACACUAAGAGGGAUUAUAAAGAGCAGAGGAUAAAGUAAAAUCUGAGAUGUCGGGGAGUUUGGAAAAUUGGACCAAAUUCAAGCAGAUAAAUUGUAGAUUGUCACUGUGGAUAAAUGCAGUUGCAUAAGAGUGCAUUUGUUUCUGAAACAAAUGUACCAAACAGUGGUGUGCUGAACUGCAGUGUGCAUAUAAGGACACUUAGGCAAGACACAAAAGAACACAGCAGAAAGAUGUAGUUUAAAAGCAAAAGAAAUGGACAUUACUAGUCCUAUAAUAAUACCAAUUAGGCAGCGUACUAAAAAUGGCAAGGGGGAAGGUUUGUUUGGUUUGGUGUUUAACAUCCUAUUUGCAGUCAAAAAGAUUUCAAACACCAGAGUCUUAAUACCAGGCCACUUUUCUGUGCUUCCUCUCUCAAAGAAAUGGUGCUGAAUCUCCCUGCACUUUUUAUGGUUUAUUUGAGAAGUGAUAUAACCAUAAAGGCUGGGAUAUGAAAACUGAAAAAUUUAAAUUAAUAUCCACCAGUCAACACAGUGUGUUUUCCAUUUCACUAUACAUGGCUUCUUCAGCAUAGCAAUUAAACAUUUAUAACUUUGGAUUUUCAUGCUGAACUUCUAAAUGGCAAAGGAGAUAGCCUUACAGUUUUGCUUCUUCCGCAUUAUCCAGUCAUGAAUGUGCAGUGUCAUGUGGGUUUUCUGAGGCAUGGAAGAGGGGUUUUUAGUGGACUUUGCAUCAGAGAACUUCAGACUGAACUGCAUCAUGUACAUGCUAUUACCAGCAUAUUUCAAACUUCUGGGAAGACAGAAUUUUAAAAUCCUGGCUUUAAAACAUAGGUGGACUCUAACAGUAGGAACAAUGUAAGGAUCAGCUAGAAAGAAGCCUGCAUGUGGCUUCAAGAGUGCACUUUCUGAUUUGCAUAAUUAAGCAUUACACAGUAAGGAAGGAAUAGCGGCACAGUGGGAAAGAAAUCAGGCUCUGAGGAGAUGAUAGUUCCUUUACCUGGGCUGCAUACACAAAGACAACCGCAGAUGCUGAAGUUGUUUUGGGCAUCUGUAGUCAUGAAAUGCUUGUAUGUAAGGAUAUGAGUUCAAAGCCAUCUCUGUAAGUAGGUACACUGUGAGAAAUACCUUACUUCUUCUCUUUUGUGGAUAUGUAAUGUGGGAAUCAGUCCCUAAUGUUAAAGAUUUUUACUUCUUUGUAAGUGGUGCAAUAUUUCAUAUAGUAUUUUACAAUCAUGUAGAGUUAUAAAUUCCUUAAUGUGCUUCCCAUGACAGCUGGUUUUUCUCCCCUGCGCCAGUGCAGGGGGCUGCUGUUCAGUAGGCUGAAACUCUAAAAUGGCAUCUGGGAAAAAAAAAAAAAGACUUAAAAGACAAGGAAGUAAAAAACUGGUGAGUGGCAGCAUGAAGGCAGGAAAUGGUUAAGCUGUCUUUGAUCAAAGAAAACAUAUUUCACCCGGUACCAUCUGCUAUAUCAUAAAAGCAGUCCGCAGACAUAGAGUGGAAAGUGAUGUGUGUUAUGCUGGUACAGUAUGCUACAGGCUAAGUGUAAUAACAAAAAGUGGUAAUGAAAAAAACCUAGCAAAAUGUAACACUGGAAAAAUGCAUUCUAUUGAAUAUUUAGGCCAACCUGAGGUUAUGGCUAGGUAGAUUUUGUGAUUAAUUGCUUCAUCCGUAGAUUGCACCUAUGGAGAGCUGCGUUGCACAUGUUUGUGCAGUUAAUUUAGCUUCACUGGUAACUACUUUAUCCUCUGCAUUGCAUCUAAGUAAAUUUUGUUGAAUAGGCUAAUUAUAAAGUCUCAGUAUUUAGCAAUUUCAAUACAUGUUUUUCUUAGAUGAAAACAUUUGUAUUUUUACACUCCUAGAUAUAUGCUGAACUAAACCGUGGGGGGAAAACACUACAUAUAUAAAGUAUAAAAUAUAAAGAAAAAGCAGAAAAUUACAAAUGCUGCAUAUCUUUCCUAUCUCUUAACGAUCUAGGAAAAAACUAUAUAUUCUCUGGUCAUUUGAAAACAAUGUAUAUGCACCAGAGUCAGUCAAGGUCAUUCUUCAAGUGCGUGCUUAACUUUGUAGAAUUACUAGUUUGUAGUCAUUUUAAUGAGCUGUAUACAUUUGCAAAAUUUAUAAGCAAGCCGUAGCUCUGUUCUACAUUGCUACUGCAAUGCUACAUCCUGGUUUAGAAUACAGAAUAAAUAAAUUAAAAAAAAGUUAUUUUAGAUUGAAGAGGACUACACAAAAAUAGAGAAGGAAUGGAUCUGUGGUUCAAAAGCUUAUUUUGCAUCAACUCUAGGUUGCUAUAGGUUGCAUCAACUACAGACUGCUUUUCUUUACUUUCAAGGUCUUGGCCAGUCUUCUCAGUCCCUCAGUCAGUGCACAGGUGAUUCCUCCAUCCUCUCAGCCUGUGGGUGAAGACCAGUAACUUCAGUCUGACAAAAGCACAGUUUGUGGGUUUUGCUAAAGCAAGUCUUCUGCAGAGACAGGCAAGCAUAAUUUAAAGACAUCAAGAAAGGAAGACUUAGCCCCCUUCCCUGAUCAUCUAUUCCAGUACUCAGUCACUCUCAUGGUUAGAAAUACAUGCCUUGUUUUAAAUUUGAAUUUGUCUAGAUUUAACUUUCAGUCAUUAGUUCUUGGUGUGCUUUUUUUCAUCCACUAUUUCCUGUCCGUUUUGUGAAUGCUGCAGUCAGUCAUAGAACAGAACCAGCUAGGUUGGAGAAGACCUUUAAGGUCAAGUCCAACCAUUACCCCAGAACUGGCAACUCCACCACUAAACCAUGUCACUAAGGGCCUGACCUACCUGAUUUUCAAACACUUCCAGGGAUGGUGAUUCUACCACUUCACUGGGUAGCCUGUUCUAAUGCCUGACUACCCUUUCAGUGAAGAAAUUUUUCCUAAUACCCAAUAUAAACCUUCCCUGGCACAGCUUGAGACUGUUACCUCUUGUCCUGUCACUUGUUAAUUGGCAAAAGAGACCAGCCACCUCCUCUUUCCAUCCUCCUUUCAGGUAGUUGAAGAGAUCAAUAGGAUCGCCCAUGAGCCUUCUCUUGUCCAGACUGAGCACCACCAGUUCCGGCAGCUGUUCCUCAUAAGACUUGUGCUCUAGGCCCUUGACCAGCUAUAAUGUAACCUCCUUUUUGCUACCCUAAACCUUUACAGUUUUUUUAUUCAAGGCAUCUUCUACAGCUUCCAAAUUGAUGUUGUGGCUCUCUUGUACAUUCUGUCAUAAUUUUCCACACCACGUAGAGGUAAGUGUGCUGGAGCUACCCACAGAACUUCAUUUAAAAUCUCAGCAGUGUCAGCUUUCAUACUUUCUACGCCACUGUUUGUGGAUCCACUUUAUGCCAUAGGUUUCUAUAGGGAGUCCAUUUUGAAUUAUUUGUCACAUUAGACAAGUACUCUUGAAACUUUUUGCUUUCUAGGAUUUAUUCCCUGGUUCCAUACUUCUUGUUCUUUAAUGUCACUUUGUGUUUGACCAUAUUAAUGUUAAUUUUCUUUGCCUGUGUCUAGAUUAGUAAAUGGUGGAUUGUUUUGUGUGCCUGUACUGCUUUCAUUAGUAUUGACUGUCAUC